UUAAGGUUCGGUACAUCCCUCUGGCCAGAUGCAUUAACAACCAACCAACCAGCCCAACAACUCCAAUCGGACAGAACAUACUGGACAUCUUUUUCCUUUGGCAGACUUAAACCCAGGGAGCUGGAAGGUGUGGGGAACAGAGAGUUCCUGCAGAUGGGGAUAGCUACAGAAUUUUUUAAAAAAUCAAAAAUAUACACAAAUAAAAACAAAACCAAAAAUGAGCAAUUCUUUACUUUUAAAAAAAAGCAGUUGCCUUUUGCGGAAGUAUUCAUGGCUCAUUUAUGGGAAUCUGGAAAUGGACCACAAUUCAAUGAACACUAUGUAGCUUUCCCUUCUUUGUCAAGUAAAGUAUCACCAGCCAAAUCCUCUCUGUCUACUACUUUUUUAAAAAAAAAAGUAAUAAAAAAAGGAUUUAGCUAAUGAAAAACUCCUCCUCUUGAAGCCACUUCAGAGUGGUGGUUGUGGUGAAUAAUAAUUCUGUGUGGAGUCCCAAGGAGAGGGGAGGAAAGGAGCUGGGUGUGCUAUCCAAGCGUGUGGCCUUAAGUGGUUCUUUCUGACGCAUCUACUCAAAAUUCAAAAGCUUUCUGUUGGUGUUUUAUUCUGGUAGUGAAUAUUCCUAAUCGUCAAGGACUGCUGUGACACUCGGGAACUGAGAGUAGCAAUAAGAACCCCACCCAAGACAAUCCACAGUGGAGAUGUGCUUCUUACUCAGUAAAGGAAGCACAGAGACUCUGAGACUUGAAUGAAUGGAACCUCAUUUCACCUGU